CAGCAGUCGCCGCGGGAAUACGAAGGGUGCAAGCGUUAAUCGGAAUUACUGGGCGUAAAGCGUGCGUAGGCGGUGAGUUAAGUCUGCUGUGAAAUCCCCGGGCUCAACCUGGGAAUGGCAGUGGAUACUGGCUCGCUAGAGUGUGUCAGAGGAUGGUGGAAUUCCCGGUGUAGCGGUGAAAUGCGUAGAGAUCGGGAGGAACAUCAGUGGCGAAGGCGGCCAUCUGGGACAACACUGACGCUGAGGCACGAAAGCGUGGGGAGCAAACAGGAUUAGAUACCCGAGUAGUCCCUGUCUCUUAUAA
rnacentral:rRNA from 1 species